AGCAGCCAUGCAUUCAAGGCAGGUUUGUCAUAACUUGUGUAUGACUUAGAUAUUUUAAUUUGUUCUAGUGCAUUACAUAGUUAACAAACCAAAACUUGCGGCCUUCUGAACAAGAUUUUAUUUCAGUAUCAGUUAAUGCCUCAAGUAUUUGUUUUUUUAUAGUUUACCUUAGAUGUCUAAAGUUGUGCUUCCAACUGGUAACUUGAAAAUUGUAGCAUGAUUUAUAUAAAUUUGGUAAAAAUAGAAUUAUUUAAAAAGUGGUACAGUUGUGAAACUAUAAUUAGUUUUAACCUACACCUGAUGAUAGUCAUAUCAUUAUAGUACCUGUGCAUUAAUAUGAAAUAGAAAGUUACCAUUUGCAAGGCUUAGGUGGAUAUGUAUAACUUGAAACAAAAUAGCAUCUAGUACUGAUUGGAUAUAUAAAUUUCACUUUAGCAAGUUAUCAUAGAAGAUUGUACAUUGGCCAUGAAUAAGUAGAUUGUUCUGCCAGCUGGUAAAGCCAGUAUGCACUAGUAGUAAGAUGCUUUUUGGGGAGGAAAAUAAUAUUUUGUAUGUUAUCAUUUGUCAACUUCCAGAGUAUCAUUUUUAAAAAUAAAAAGAAAAGAAGAGGGAUUUGGAUUCUUUUAUAGGCUUAUUUAAUGUAUGAAAUAUAAAUGAUUACUUAAAUAUAUUUUAAAUUUGUAUAAAAUAUUAAAUGGGUUUGGGUGGGUUUGGGUAAUGUUAAUCGGAUUUGGGUAGGCUACAAGUAGUAAGGGAUGAAUUUUAAUUAGGUUUAGAACAAGUUCAGGCAGUAAAAUUGUCAAAUGGGUAUAGGAACAGGAGGGUCAAAUUUGCGGAUACCCUACUCAUUGCCAUUCUUAUUAGGAAAGUGUUAUGUUUGGGAGUUGGUGGAUUCAUUCGUUUAUAUACUGAGUUGGGGAGAAAUGGAUUGGGCCCUCAUUGUAUGCAUGUAUUUAAAUUUGAUGCCUUUCUGCAAAAAGAAGGUAAAAAUUUCUUCUUUUCUAUUUGGAAAAGGAAUAUGUUACACAAAAUCCUGUAGAACUUAAUUGUCUUGAGGUGUGUCAAUAUUUCCAGAUUUUCUGUAUUUCUUCUUACGCCGUCCCAAGUUUUUGAUUACUUGUCAUCUUACAUGUGAAUUCUGGAUGAUUCUCAGGUCUUGCAUGGUGCAGAAAGAGGAGAGCCAUCUGCAUUGCUAUUU
rnacentral:misc_RNA from 1 species